rnacentral:rRNA from 1 species
AUUGAACGCUGGCGGCAGGCCUAACACAUGCAAGUCGAACGAGUCGCGGACGGGUGUGUUAUAUAUCGGAACGUGCCCAGUAGCUGGGGUUAACUACUCGAAAGAGUGGCUAAUACCGCUUUCUUUGGGCGCGGCCGAUAUCGGAUUAGCGAGUUGGUGGGGUAAUGGCUCACAAAGGCAACGAUCCGGAGCUGGUUUGAGAGGACGACCAGCCACACUGGGACUGAGACACGGCCCAGACUCCUACGGGAGGCAGCAGUGGGGAAUUUUGGACAAUGGGGGAAACCCUGAUCCAGCCAUCCCGCGUGUAUGAGAAGGCCUUCGGGUUGUAAAGUACUUUUGGCAGGGAAGCGGUAUCUGCAGAAUAAGCACCGGCUAACUACGUGCCAGCAGCCGCGGUAAUAC